rnacentral:rRNA from 1 species
CAAUAGCGUAUAUUUAAGUUGUUGCAGUUAAAAAGCUCGUAGUUGGAUUUCGGUUAAGAGCGACCGGUCCGCCGUUUGGUGUGCACUGGUUGGUUUUAACUUCCUGUAGAGGACGUGCUCUGGGUUUAACGACCUGGACUCGGAGUCUACGUGGUUACUUUGAAAAAAUUAGAGUGUUCAAAGCGGGCUUACGCUUGAAUAUUUCAGCAUGGAAUAACACUAUAGGACUCCUGUCCUAUUUCGUUGGUCUCGGGACGGGAGUAAUGAUUAAGAGGAACAGUUGGGGGCAUUCGUAUUUCAUUGUCAGAGGUGAAAUUCUUGGAUUUAUGAAAGACGAACUUCUGCGAAAGCAUUUGCCAAGGAUGUUUNCGUUAA